rnacentral:rRNA from 1 species
UACGGGGGGGGCAAGCGUUGUUCGGAAUUACUGGGCGUAAAGGGCUCGUAGGUGGCCAACUAAGUCAGACGUGAAAUCCCUCGGCUUAACCGGGGAACUGCGUCUGAUACUGGAUGGCUUGAGUUUGGGAGAGGGAUGCGGAAUUCCAGGUGUAGCGGUGAAAUGCGUAGAUAUCUGGAGGAACACCGGUGGCGAAGGCGGCAUCCUGGACGGAUACUGACGCUGAGACGCGAAAGCGUGGGGAGCAAACAGG